CUCACGUCUAAGCACAGCAGCUCAGCAUGUCGGAGUUCACUGUGCCACCGAGCAGUGUGCCCGCCGCCCUGCUCUCUCUCCUACAGGCCUUGCUUGUCCUCAGGACAGGCGUAGGACAGAGCACUGAGCAGUCAUGCAGUCACUGGGAUAACAGGCUACAGGGCUUCAGGCCGGGCCUUUAGAUAUUGUGGCUUACAUGUUAUGCAUGUGGAUAAAAGAAAGCAUCCUACAGUGGACAUUUCAGCUCAACUACUGGGCCUGACGAAGCGCUUAGUGCUCUAUACGGACCGUCGCCCAACCCACUCCCCCACCUUGCUCCACCUGUUCGCUCUCCCAUUCAUGUGGGAACGCUGCUGGCUGACAUGCAAUAAAGAAGCUUGCGAUUCCCAAAAAAAGACCUGGAAUAGGCACUGCUUGGAAUAAACUCAAAGGUGCUGGGAAUGAAUUAUCUGCUGCCAAGCAAGAUUCACAGCAGUGAAAAAUCCAUAAAAACAACAUAAAACUGUAAAAUGCUAGGCCGUGUUGUGGUACUGUACAGCAUGAAAAACUUUCAAUGUUUUCUUUGUGGUGGUUUUUAUGCAUGAAUAAUGCAGGAUCCAGACUUUAGAAGAUAGACUAUCGCUGAACCAAGAGAGAAUCAAAAAUAGCAUACAAAAAGAAAAAUAAAGAUGUGGGAGACUCAGCAAGUGACAGUAUGGUGUGCCCUCUACGACUUAAUAUCUGGGAUUGAAGAU